rnacentral:piRNA from 1 species
UUAUAACCAGUUUAAUGUUGA